rnacentral:rRNA from 1 species
CCUACGGGAGGCAGCAGUGGGGAAUAUUGCACAAUGGGCGAAAGCCUGAUGCAGCCAUGCCGCGUGUAUGAAGAAGGCCUUCGGGUUGUAAAGUACUUUCAGUCGUGAGGAAGGGUGUGUAGUUAAUAGCUGCAUAUCUUGACGUUAGCGACAGAAGAAGCACCGGCUAACUCCGUGCCAGCAGCCGCGGUAAUA